CGGAGGAUCCAAGCGUUAUCCGGAAUCAUUGGGUUUAAAGGGUCCGUAGGCGGUUUAGUAAGUCAGUGGUGAAAGCCCAUCGCUCAACGGUGAACGGCCAUUGAUACUGCUAGACUUGAAUUAUUAGGAAGUAACUAGAAUAUGUAGUGUAGCGGUGAAAUGCUUAGAGAUUACAUGGAAUACCAAUUGCGAAGGCAGGUUACUACUAAUGGAUUGACGCUGAUGGACGAAAGCGUGGGUAGCGAACAGGAUUAGAUACCCUGGUAGUCCACGCCGUAAACGAUGGAUACUAGCUGUUGGGAGCAAUCUCAGUGGCUAAGCGAAAGUGAUAAGUAUCCCACCUGGGGAGUACGUUCGCAAGAAUG
rnacentral:rRNA from 1 species